rnacentral:rRNA from 1 species
AGCCUACCCUAGCCCGACCAUCCAACCCAUCAACACAAACACCCAAAAAUUCACCUUUCCCACAAACCAAAACAUUUGACCACAACCUAGUAUAGGCGAUAGAAAAGUUACCUGGCGCAAUAGAAACACGUACCGUAAGGGAAAAAUGAAAUAGCAAUGAAAAACAUAAGCCGCAAGCAGCAAAGAUUAACCCUUGUACCUUUUGCAUCAUGAUUUAGCAAGAACAACCAAGCAAAAUGAUUUUAAGUUUGUCACCCCGAAACCUGCGUGAGCUACUCACAAGCAGCUAAUAAUCGAGCUAACCCGUCUCUGUUGCAAAAGAGUGGGACGACUUGUCAGUAGAGGUGAAAAGCCAACCGAACCAGGUGAUAGCUGGUUGCCUGCGAAAAGAAUCUAAGUUCCACUUUGACCCUUCCCCUAGCGAACCUAAAGCACCAUGACAAAGGUCAACAGUAACUUAAAGGAGGUACAGCUCCUUUAAAAAAGAAAACAACCUCCUCUAGCGGAUAAUCCACCAUACCCUAUAAACUGUAGGCCCUAAAGCAGCCACCAAUAAAGAGUGCGUCAAAGCUCCCCGUACCAAAAAUAUUACAACAUAACGACUCCCUCCCCCUUAACAGGCCAACCUAUCUCAAUAGGAGCAUUAAUGCUAAAACGAGUAACUUGGACUAGCUCCUCUCAAGCACAAACUUACAUCACCACAUCAUUAACAAAUCCUAUAUUAACACCCAAACAAGACAAAAUAUCAACAAACCCUGUUACACCAACCCAGGAGCGCUUAUUAGAAUGAUUUAAAUCUGUAGAAGGAACUAGGCAAACCCUUCCAAGGCCCGACUGUUUACCAAAAACAUAGCCUUCAGCCAACCAAGUAUUGAAGGUGAUGCCUGCCCAGUGACAGAAAGUUCAACGGCCGCGGUAUCCUAACCGUGCAAAGGUAGCGCAAUCAAUUGUCCCAUAAAUCGAGACAUGUAUGAAUGGCUAAACGAGGUCUUAACUGUCUCCUACAGAUAAUCAGUGAAACUGAUCUCCCUGUACAAAAGCAGGGAUACCCCCAUAAGACGAGAAGACCCUGUGGAACUUAAAAAUCAAUGGUCACCGUACCCGAAAAUUUAACCCUACCAGGCCCACUACCCCUACCCAUUGACCAAUAUUUUUUGGUUGGGGCGACCUUGGAGAAAAACAAACCCUCCAAAAAUAAGACCACCUUUCUUAACCAAGAGCCACCCCUCAACGUGCCAACAGUAACCAGACCCAAUAUAAUUGAUUAAUGGACCAAGCUACCCCAGGGAUAACAGCGCAAUCUCCUCCAAGAGCCCCCAUCGACGAGGAGGUUUACGACCUCGAUGUUGGAUCAGGACAUCCUAAUGGUGCAGCCGCUAUUAAGGGUUCGUUUGUUCAACGAUUAACAGUCCUACGUGAUCUGAGUUCAGACCGGAGUAAUCCAGGUCGGUUUCUAUCUAUGAAGAACUUUCCCUAGUACGAAAGGACCGGGAAAAUAAGGCCAAUACCACAAGCACGCCUUCUCCUAAAGUAAUGUACUCAACUAAAUUACUAAAGGAUCUUCACACCCCCUCAAGAUAAGAGGCC